UACGUAGGGUGCAAGCGUUGUCCGGAAUUAUUGGGCGUAAAGAGCUCGUAGGCUGUUUGUCGCGUCUGCUGUGAAAACCCGAGGCUCAACCUCGGGCCUGCAGUGGGUACGGGCAGACUAGAGUGCGGUAGGGGAGAUUGGAAUUCCUGGUGUAGCGGUGGAAUGCGCAGAUAUCAGGAGGAACACCAAUGGCGAAGGCAGGUCUCUGGGCAUUAACUGACGCUGAGGAGCGAAAGCAUGGGGAGCGAACAGG
rnacentral:rRNA from 1 species